rnacentral:rRNA from 1 species
AGCAGCCGCGGUAAUUCCAGCUCCAAUAGCGUAUAUUAAAGUUGUUGCAGUUAAAAAGCUCGUAGUUGAAUUUCGGGAUCAAUACGUCGGUCGUGCUUAGGUACGUACUGGCGUAAUUGAUUUCUCCCUUCUGACGAACCAUGAUGUCAUUAACUUGGUGUCAUGGGAAAUCAGGACUGUUACUUUGAAAAAAUUGAGUGUUUAAAGCAGGCUCACGCUUGAAUACAUUAGCAUGGAAUAAUGAAAUAGGACGUUCGAUCCUAUUUUGUUGGUUUUUAGGAUCAACGUAAUGAUUAAUAGGGAUAGUUGGGGGCAUUAGUAUUCAAUUGUCAGAGGUGAAAAUUCUUGGAUUUAUUGAAGACUAACUACUGCGAAAGCAUUUGCCAAGGAUGUUUUCAUUAAUCAAGAACGAAAGUUAGGGGAUCGAAGACGGUCAGAUACCGUGUAGUCUUAACCAUAAACUAUAGCCGACUAGGGAUCGGAUGAUGUUAAUUUUUAUGUACUNAUUCGGCGACCUUAC